GAACGCACCUUGCGCUCCUUGGUAUUCCGAGGAGCAUGCCUGUUUGAGUGUCAUUAAAUUCUCAACCUCACCAACUUUGUUGUGUGAAGGCUUGGAUGUGGGGGUUUGCAGGUCCGCACUCGUGUGGUCUGCUCCUCUAAAACGUAUUAGUGGGUUAGUCCCCUAAUCUAUUGGUGUGAUAAUUAUCUACGCCAUAGCCGUGAAGCAGUUUAUAAAAUGGGACUUCAGCUUCUAACCGUCCUUUAAGAGGACAGCACUUAAUUGACAUUUUGACCUCAAAUCAGGUAGGACUACCCGCUGAACUUAAG
rnacentral:misc_RNA from 1 species